rnacentral:misc_RNA from 1 species
GAAAACAAAAGAAACGAUUAAAAAAUAAAUAGGCAAACUUACUGUCAGAUGAUGGUAUCAAUGGCAUCUGUGGGUUCAAAAAAUCUAAAUCUGAUUUACACUCCUGUCCUAAAAAUAACCUUUUUAUACGUGUCCUUGUUUCUAGGAACUGGAAAUGAAAACCAAAUUUUUAUGUGAGGUGCACAAUGCCAAAGCUUGGCAAUGUGUGCACAGUUACGUGAAUAAAGCAGACACUUGUAUGAGACACCUCGCUUGGAAUGUCAAAAGCUAAAGCUGUGCCUCCUCACCUAAACGCAUGACCAUGAGCUUUUGACUGCCCUGGUUGAUUAAUAGCCAAAUUGAAAUGGACUAAUUGGUAGCCUUACUAUA